UAGCAACGUCCUUGAUAUUGUUGUGGU
rnacentral:sRNA from 1 species